rnacentral:lncRNA from 1 species
UGUUUGAUUGAAGAGUAAAAUGAGCUAUUGAUUGAUGUAAAGGCGAAAUAAUAUUCAAUCGCCUGUAAAAAAAAAAUUAGUACGAAAAAAAUGGAAAUUUGUUUUAGCAAAUUAUGUGUCACAUUAUUAAUAUCAUUUUGAUAAACAGAUGUUGAUAGUUUCAACAAAUUUUAAACGAUGGCUGAAACCAUAUUACCACAACUGUGCCAUUAAGCAAUAAAGAUGCAAAUAAAUCAGAUCAAUUGUACUGGAUAAUGUUGCUUGUCUUCUCAAUGUUCAAUUGAUUGGAAACCUUUUCAAAUAAAUAAAAAUUACUGGAGUUAACAAAUAUAUUGUUCACAAAUAAUAAAAACCAAAAAACCUAGCGACGCUUCAACAAAUUGGUUUAUGAGGUGAAGAUUACCAUGAAACAGAAGAAUAAUUGAAAUUAAUACCAUCAAUAAAAGAUGGUAGAAAGUGGAAAAAUUGUCAUUGAGUCAAAGCCAUAAAAUUAUGAAAUAUGACUGUCAAGGGAUAUAAUUCAACAUCUUGCGGCCAGAAGAGUAUUGAAAGUUUACCAAGCUCAUAGAAUGCUCCUGAAAAAUACAGUAAAUCAUAACUAGUGAAUUUAUGGGUCAGUUAUUGGGAUAGAAGCUCAGAACUGACUCUACUGGUAAGCCACACACUUUCUCCUUACUAACCAUUUUUCUUUUGGCUCCUCCUCUCUCUUUCUCUCUCUCUCUCUCUCUUUUUUACCUUAUUUUCAGAGUGUCAUAAAUGUGCAUGGCCAAAGUCAAUUCACUUUCUCGAAUGCCCUGGUAUGCUGUGAAAAAAAAACCCUUUGUUGAAGGGAAAUAAAAUGAAGUUUAGUUUCUAGAAGUCUAAAACCACUGGUGCUAGAGUGUUAAAAAAGAGUUGAA